UCCUCUUCAAGAAGUGUAACUGCCUUCAUAAUGAGAGGCCUUCCUUCUCCAGAUACACUUGUGUCCUGAGCUCCCUCAUGUGCGCCUAAGACCUGCGUUUCCUGCUACCUCAUCCUAAAAUCUGAUUUAUGACUCCUAAACCUAUAGCAAACUUCUCCUACAUUAUUAGCUUUAAUGCUUUAUUGUUUAAAACUUUAUUUAUUAAGCCUAGCAAUUCUAUCUCCCAUGAUUGUUCUGUCCAUAUCACCAAUAGCUGAAAAACAAGCAAAAUAUUUUCCCUCUGCUACUUAAGCCUGUUUUAAAACAUUGUUGCUUGAUCUUACUCAUGUUCUGCAUUUCUCUGACCUUCUAUCUAUCGCUUUAAGUUUUUGUCUGUAUCCGUACUUGACACUUCUAUUUCUUCAGAGAACAAUUUUGGCCAAUCAGCUGUAACAUUUGGAUUCUGGAGAUUUAGGGUAGCUAAUUAUGAGUUACACAGGCCAGGAGUAGAACUACAAGGGAUGCAGAGGAUCGCAACUGUGACUGGGCCCCCGAGGAUGGGGACCCAGCUCAAAAAAAAAAAAAAUCUCAAUAAAAAACGUUGACCUGCCACUGCCUGCACUGAUAUCAUGUGUUUAAGCCAGGUAAAAGGUUAUAUACAGUACAUUGUCAACAUUGUGCUCCUCUGAUGAGGAUGAGGUGGUGAGCAACUGACAACCAGGAAUCUGUGGAUUUGGAAGAUAUCACAUGCAAGAUGGCAGAGUUACACCCUUACUUCAAAAACCUAUGUGUUGCACUGAGUGUAUUUGACAAGCUGAGUUUGACACUCAGUGUGACAGAGUGUCAGUUUGUCAAAUACCCCAAGUGAGGCACUGUCUUUCACCGAAUGUCUUCAGUCUGGCCAAAAAUACUUCUGGAACACCACUAAUCUCAAUAUUUCAUUAAAGGACCAUACAAUACAGUGAAUUGGAUAAUCAGCAAUUGCCUAAUAAAAAGACAAGGCAAUAUAACUUACUCAAACAAGCAAUAGUUUUUUUUCUAGUAAAUUUGAAAUUUCCUCCUGUACCAUGUGAUAGCCAUCAUCAAAUUAUAGGCUCAUCUGUAUACACUGUGAACUCAGUAGGAGCUGAAAGUGUGCAUAUAAAGUGUGCAUAUAAAUUGUGCAUAUAAAGUGUGUAUAUAAAUUGUGCAUAUAAAGUGUGUAUAUAAAGUGUGCAUAUAAAGUGUGCAUAUAAAGUGUGUAUAUAAAGUGUGCAUAUAAAGUGUGCAUAUAAAGUGUGUAUAUAAAGUGUGCAUAUAAAGUGUGUAUAUAAAGUGUGCAUAUAAAGUGUGUAUAUAAAGUGUGUAUAUAAAGUGUGCAUAUAAAGUGUGUAUAUAAAGUGUGCAUAUAAAGUGUGCAUAUAAAGUGUGCAUAUAAAGUGUGUAUAUAAAGUGUGUAUAUAAAGUUUGAAUAUAAAGUGUGCAUAUAAAGUGUGCAUAUAAAGUGUGCAUAUAAAGUGUGCAUAUAAAGUGUGUAUAUAAAGUGUGCAUAUAAAGUGUGUAUAUAAAGUGGGCAUAUAAAGUGUGUAUAUAAAGUGUGCAUAUAAAGUGUGUAUAUAAAGUGUGCAUAUAAAGUGUGCAUAUAAAGUUCGAAUAUAAAGUGUGCAUAUAAAGUGUGCAUAUAAAGUGUGUAUAUAAAGUGUGUAUAUAAAGUGUGUAUAUAAAGUUUGAAUAUAAAGUGUGCAUAUAGUUAAAGUGUGCAUAUAAAGUGCGUAUAUAAAGUGUAUAUAUAAAGUGUAUAUAUAAAGUGUGUAUAUAAAGUGUGUAUAUAAAGUGUGCAUAUAAAGUGUGCAUAUAAAGUGUGUAUAUAAAGUGUGUAUAUAAAGUGUGUAUAUAAAGUGUGUAUAUAAAGUUUGAAUAUAAAGUGUGCAUAGUUUGAUAAUGAAGGUAAAUUGGAAAGUUUAUUUUUUAUUAAAUUGCAUGCUCUAUCUGA